UUUGCGGGUACGGGUACGGAGCAAGGAAAAAAAAAGAAAAAGAUAAAAGGUGCCCAAAAAACCCUAAUUUUCAAUUUUGCACCGCACCAAUUUUUUGCUAAACAGCAGGGAAGUAACGAUAGUAGUGGGAAUGGAUUGUCAAACAAUCAGAAGGUACAUAAGUGGAAAAACACUGACCAAUCAAAGUUCCAACAUGGAAACAUAAUUGUCAAAGGUUGAGCGAUCAAUCCCUUCUUCCAUCAUUAUUCCUCUAAAUCUUCCACUGCCAAGAGAAGCUCCUUUCUUUCCUUCUUUUACCCUACAAAAGGAGCCCAUCUACUGUAUUCUAUUUGUUCUGGUCUGGCUAUAUACUCCACUUCAGUUUUGCACUUUUUGGAUCUAUACAAGCCGUCCAGUGGUGCUUGCCGGUGUCGUCUUGUUUUAUUUUUUGUGAUAUUGUAUGUUUUUUCAUCGGUGGUUUAGGUUUGAAUCUGUGAUUUUCUUCAACAAACUCGGGUUCAAGGUUGCUUUGAAAGAUUCUGGUUAUGAAGACUCAAAAGUUAUUGGAACAUCUCGUUCUCUUGAUUGCCUUAGCUUUGACAUAAUUGGUUGACGACGAGAGAGAGCACACUUGUUAGCAUUCAUGCUGUGGUCAUGGGCGUCUAUAAGUGUGCUCUCUGCCGUCGUCAUACAAUAUGCUCAAAGAAGGUUUAUCUUUACUGGCACAUGGCUGAGCAAGUGAUUUUAACGGACGUCUUGCUGUAGCUGUAUCUCAGGUUUUGAUUUAUUUCUAAUAAUAGACUUGUGGUACCUCUGAUGACUUCAUUAUUUACAACUCAUGGCUUUGUUAUUAUUAGCCUUUUGAUGCUUACUUUGAUAGGUCACUAACAUCUUGCUGUAAAAUGAUUUGAGUUGCUUCUUAAUUGAUGAGUGAAUGUUGCUUUAAAUUAGUAGCAGAUAUAAGACAACAGUCUGCAUUAGAGGCACAUCAUUUGAGUUCCUAACAUGCAAAGAACUCCAUUCAUUGUGAAGGGAGAUACUCCUAAGUUUCUGUGAUGCUAAUGUGGGCUGUAAAUACUGUAAGUCAGUUUUGUUUUCUUGCUUGUUUGAAAUAUUAUAUGGGCUUGAGGUUAUUGGUCAUGUCAGUUAGGUCUUGAAUAAAUAUGCAUUAAUCAUUCCAUUUGUUUCCCUUUGGAUCUCAUCUACUCCUACUUCAUUCUUUCAUUUGUUCUCUCUCUCUCUCUCUCUCUCUCUCAAUUUAAUCAAUGGUGUUCGGGUUGGCCUUUGACUACUUCAUAGAAGAUGAAAGUGCGUGCUUUGACUCAUAUUAAUUGGUAUCAGUAUCAUCUGAUUGAGCAUUUGUUUGCAUAGUGAAAGUGAGGACCACUUUUUCCCCCCUACUAUAUCCACUUGUUCUCUAUUAUAUUUUCUACAAUGUCAGACCUGUAACUUCUAACUAGGGAUGUGUAGUGUUAUUCCAGAUCGGGAUUUACCUAAAAGCCAAAGCUGAAUUGAACUUUCAGUUAUUGUUUGAUUCUUUGAUAUCUCAGUUCCAAUUUGGUUUUUGAUAUCUAAAUUUAUGCAAUUUGUGUCAUGGAAAUCAUACUUUAAUUACCACUUUAAGCUUUAAAGUUGCUGACACACAAAUGCAAUAUAUAAUUUAUCUUUCAGUUAUUCUUUAAUUAUUUAGUAUUUACAUUAUAAAGUAUUAUAUAAUUAAGGAUUGAAAUCAUAUUAUAUAAUGAACUAAUACACUUACAACUAUAAAGUGAUUUAAUGUAUUUAUAAUUAAAAUAUGAAAGUUAAUAUUAGUUUUAUAUGGUCCAUAGUUUUUAACAUAAUAUAACUUGAAAUUGCAUAUAAACAUUUAUAUACUUAUGUUGAAAGUAUUCCUAAAAAAUCAUAGAAAAAUAUGUAUAAAAUCGAUUAUUUAGUUCAUUCCUUAGUGAAUAACCAAAAUCAUAAAAUAAUUCGGUUUGGUAUCUUCAAGAACCGAGCACAUCCUUACUUCAACAAUCAGAUUUACUUGUCAAGUAUCAUAUUUGGAAUUUGUCAAAGUUUAGUCUACAAGCAUGUCAGUUUUAGUCGCAAUAUUUGACAUGAUGCUUGAAGCUGGAACAGUUUAAUUAGUUAGACCAAUCCCAACUGUCUGAAAUUACUUGCAUAUUAAUUUUUUGGUUCAGUGAUUUAGGGCUUGAAAGUUAUUUGGUCAUUUGCGUGUAGUUAGAAUUGGUGUGAGAGCCACUCUGGAUUUGAAAAUUGUGGUUAGCUGGUGGACAUAUGAAGAAAGGGCUACAUAUGGCUAGAGAGAAAGCAUAAUUGCCCGAGGCAUAAGUGGAUCAAAGUACUCAAAGGUUUAGUUUUGGCUUAGCAACUAUACACUCACAAAUUUAUGUAAAAUUGUGGAUUCCCACAUUGGCUUGGAAAGGGAGUUGAAAUGCAUUUAUUAGCUUAAUCUUAGCUAUAAAGACAACUUGUCUAACCAUUUUGGGAUAAUGGGUUAGAGUCUAUAAAUCAUAUGAGCUAAUUGGGAUAAGGUAUUGUAAUGGUUGAUACACACUUUUCAUUUGGAAGUGAGAAAUGAAUGGAAUUUUUAUCAUAAUUAGAAUGAGAGACCACCUAAAUCUUCCUCCUUCCACUUACAUGGCAAAUUAACAUAUUUUUAUUGAAUGUUGAGCACUAGCUUACCGUUUAGGAGACUAGAAGUUGCAGGAAUUUAUUUACAAAGUUUUGAAGUUAAGGAUACGAAUAUUUUAAUUUUUAUUUUUCCUUCCAUUUUUUGCAUGCCACUCACUUUGUCCCCUCGUAUGUGCCUUCACAUGCAUGUGUAACCUAAAAAGUGUGCACAACAUAAAUUGGCAGCUUAUCCAGAGUAAAAUUUUUAGUUUGUGUGGGGUUUAAACGAGCAUUAUGUUCUUUGUUUUAAAGUUUUGAAUAGAAAUUUAACAUGCAACUCAUCUUAUGUUGAUGAGUGUACAAAGAGAACAAGUGAUAUUUUAGAGGCUUGUUUACAAAAAAGUCCAAACAUUUAUACACAAUUUCACUUUAAUCCAGUUGUUUCAGUUUUACAAAUUAGACUAAAUUGAAACAUUUUGUUGCAAUUUUAUCUAGCUAACCAAAUUUGGUCUAAUUUUUGAAAAAAGCUUUUGUUUUUUCAUAUUUUCCCUCUCUCUCCCCUUCCCUUCACUUACAAAUCUUUUCCCAAAGGCUUCUGCCCUUUCUCCCUUUCCUGACAUUGUUGAAGUUUUAAGUUUCCGUUCCCUCAACGUGGCAAGGCACCAUUGACAUUCCGGUGUCCUUAGCUUCAUUGGGAAAGAUAAGAAGUGACAUAUCAGUGAAGCUUGGUGCAGCAACUUCUCCCCUUCAAUUCACACAAACCAGAACUCUUCACAUUUUUUUUUCAAAAGCAAGGAAUGAUAUGAUUUUGGUGGCUGGUUCGAUCCAGCAUGAAGACGAUUUUGGUCAAAUUGGUUCUGAGUCGACCCUUGAUUAGGUCUAACGAAGAUGCAUUUAUCUGAGUUUUGCAUUGGUGGCAUUUGUAUAGGAGAGCAGAGAAAGGAGAGGAGUAGGGAACAUAUAUGUUCCCAAGUGAUUCAUUGGAUUAAAUUGUAAUUUUUUGCAGACGUUUGGAAGGCAAAAUAAGACUUCAGUAGAGCUUGUAAAUAAUAAUAACUGUUGAGUAAGUGCUGUUGUGGUGCCUUGUAAGGCUUAUAUGAGAGAUGCAAGUCAUGCAUGGCUACAGGAAGUAACGUGGACAAGGGAUUUAGAAUUUGGACUGAGAAUGAGUUUUGUUAAUGGAAUGUGAUGAUCAUCUCAAGGAGCAACGACUGUGAAUGGUAAACUAAUGUGGAUACAUGAUAGUAUAGUAUAGUAGGGGCCAUUAAUGUCCAUUUCAUGAGUGGAUGUGGCAAUCAACUUUGUUAGUAUUGAACAGUACUCCUUUGGGAGUUUCUUGUACACUGCUGAUGUGGGACUUCUUCCCCAAAUCCAUAUUCUAACAGAGUUGAAUUUGUCUUAUUGUUUUAUUUUUCAUUCCUUAUUUAUAUGUCUUAUUGUUCUAUUUUGCUAGAUCCUUAAUCAGACAUCAUUCUUUAUCCAGUAAAUUCCUAUUGCGGAUGAGCAAGCUGUGGUUCUUGAAGUUUCAAUUAAAUGUAUUUUAGAUGCUUGUCCUACGUUCCUUAUUCAUACUCAUAUCGCUGCGGUGCAAUUUCUAUGGCAUGUCCAAUUUUAGGAUUUGAGGAUAUGAUGAGUGAAUGCUACGAAGCCAUGACCAAGCCUUUCGACUUCUCGGUUUCAACUGUGAUGGAUUAGUCUUUGCCUUGGAAUCGUGCGUCUGCAAUGAAGUAUCGCCAGGUGUUUUUGGGUUUCAAUUAGUCUUGCGUUGUUUAUAUGCAAGUCAGCAUUAGCAGCAGCAUAGGGGUGGAAGAUUAUGAAAGACAACAAGGCUAAUGUUACAGAAACAUAUUAUUAUCUAGAGAAGCAGAGUGACUGAUUACAGCGAGUCAGAGAGUCUGGGUUCAUGUACGUUGGGAGGAUUCAUUUAUGGGCUUGAGUUUGUUCGACUUGCCUGCAUCACAGUUCUCUUGUCAGGUUAAUAUUUUAACUUAAAUUUAACGUUAGUCUUUCUGUUUACUUAUUGAAUGGGUGUUUAUUGUACAGAAUCAGAAGCAACUUGAAUUGGAAUCUCCAUCAAUCUCUUUUUUCUGUUACUUGUAUUAAUUUUUUUCCAUUAAAGAAGAAGCUGUUGAGAAGUAUGAAAUUUGUUUAUGUUAACUCAAAAGUUGUUAGGCAUACAGCCCAUUGAUGGGCUGAACUGAAAGCAGCUCCUAACUUGGAUAUGGUUUUC